rnacentral:rRNA from 1 species
AACGGGUGGAGCCUGUCGGUUUAAUUGGAUCAACGCCGGAAAUCUCACCGGGGCGACAGCAAUAUGAAGGUCAGGCUGAAGACCUUACCCGAUUAGCUGAGAGGUGGUGCAUGGCCGUCGUCAGUUCGUACUGUGAAGCAUCCUGUUAAGUCAGGCAACGAGCGAGACCCACGUCCACAGUUGCCAGCAUACCCUCCGGGGUGAUGGGUACACUGUGGAGACCGCCGCUGCUAAAGCGGAGGAAGGAGUGGGCAACGGUAGGUCAGUAUGCCCCGAAUCUCCCGGGCUACACGCGGGCUACAAUGGUUGGUACAAUGGGCAUCUACCCCGAAAGGGGAAGGAAAUCUCUUAAAGCCAAUCGUAGUUCGGAUUGAGGGCUGCAACUCGCCCUCAUGAAGCUGGAGUCCGUAGUAAUCGCGUUUCAACAGAACGCGGUGAAUACGUCCCUGCUCCUU